AGCUCAGCUGGUUAGAGCACAUCACUCAUAAUGAUGGGGUCACAGGUUCGAAUCCCGUC
rnacentral:tRNA from 1 species